UUGGCUGGCUCCUCUAUCCAGGACAGGAAAAGGGUUGGGGUGGAUGGGAGGCGGGACCGCCCGCACUGGCAGAUGCAAGAGAACACCAGCAGCCCGACCGGAGUCGGUAGCUGGCGGAUGAUAGUUUUAGUGCUAUGGAAUUUUGAAUGUCGCGUAGGAUUAACCAAAAGCAAAAGGCGGCGUUUGGUGUGUGUAUCCAAUUAUAACAGCAGCAGUUGGCAAGGACGAGGUUAUCUAUAUUAUCAUCUAUUGCCGUGACCCAGGCAGGGCGUGUCGAGCUCCAGCACAGCUGUCUAGACCAUUAACAUAAUUUCUGAAUGCAGUCGAACUGCCUAUAGACCGUCUCAUCCUCCUAUAAAAACAUAAUACGCAUGCGAAAUGAAGCACCCCAUUAAUUCCUGGGAGCACGGUGUCAAAAGUUCCCGCCGUAAUAGAGUAAUCGUUCCUGAUUGCUCACAGCUGUGGAAAAGAUGGUAAUAAUGGGUAACCAAGCAGGAGAAAUACCACCAUGUAGUCGUUGUUUUGUAUAUAACAGACUACCUGGAAACAUAACAAAGAUUCCCGGCCGGUUUUACGAUCAGAAGAGGACUGUAUAAACACAAGACUAGCCUAUACUAAAAAGAGGCAAGACGUAGCCCAGUGGUAAAUCACUCACUUGAUGCG
rnacentral:lncRNA from 1 species